GUCUAGAAGCUUCGGCAAUGGGGGCAACCCUGACCGAGCGACGCCGCGUGCGGGAUGAAGGCCUUCGGGUUGUAAACCGCUUUCGACGGGGAAGAAAGGCGAUCGGGCAAAUAGUCCGGUCGCUUGACGGUACCCAGGGAAGAAGCCUCGGCUAAUUCCGUGCCAGCAGCCGCGGUAAUACGGGGGAGGCAAGCGUUAAUCGGAUUUAUUGGGCGUAAAGCGCGUGUAGGCGGUUUCUUAAGUCGGGUCUUAAAGACGACGGCUCACCCGUCGGCAUGGGCCCGAUACUGAGGAACUUGAGUAUGGCAGAGGCAAGCGGAAUUCCAGGUGUAGCGGUGAAAUGCAUAGAUAUCUGGAGGAACACCCGUGGCGAAGGCGGCUUGCUGGGCUGUUACUGACGCUGAGACGCGAAAGCCAGGGGAGCGAACGGGAUUAGAAACCCGAGUAGUCC
rnacentral:rRNA from 1 species